AAGUCGUAACAAGGUCUCCGUUGGUGAACCAGCGGAGGGAUCAUUACAGAGUUACUUUAAAACUCCCAACCCAUGUGAACAUACCUCUUGUUGCUUCGGCAGGUCCUUGCCCUAUCUACCUACCCGGUAGAUGGCGGGGUGAAAAGCCUGCCGGUAGCCCACUAAACUCUUGUUUAAUAUUGGAAUUCUGAAUCUAUAACUUAAUAAGUUAAAACUUUCAACAACGGAUCUCUUGGUUCUG
rnacentral:misc_RNA from 1 species